CAGUCGCCGCGGGAAUACGUAGGUGGCAAGCGUUGUCCGGAAUUACUGGGCGUAAAGCGUGCGCAGGCGGUUGUGUAAGACAGGUGUGAAAUCCCCGGGCUUAACCUGGGAACUGCGCUUGUGACUGCACAGCUAGAGUAUGGCAGAGGGGGGUGGAAUUCCACGUGUAGCAGUGAAAUGCGUAGAGAUGUGGAGGAACACCGAUGGCGAAGGCAGCCCCCUGGGCCAAUACUGACGCUCAUGCACGAAAGCGUGGGGAGCAAACAGGAUUAGAUACCCCUGUAGUCCCUGUCUCUUAUAC
rnacentral:rRNA from 1 species